rnacentral:rRNA from 1 species
AUUGAACGCUGGCGGCAGGCUUAACACAUGCAAGUCGAGCGGGGGGAGGUAGCUUGCUACCGGACCUAGCGGCGGACGGGUGAGUAAUGCUUAGGAAUCUGCCUAUUAGUGGGGGACAACAUCUCGAAAGGGAUGCUAAUACCGCAUACGUCCUACGGGAGAAAGCAGGGGAUCUUCGGACCUUGCGCUAAUAGAUGAGCCUAAGUCGGAUUAGCUAGUUGGUGGGGUAAGGGCCUACCAAGGCGGCGAUCUGUAGCGGGUCUGAGAGGAUGAACCGCCAAACUGGGACUGAGACACGGCCCAGACUCCUACGGGAGGCAACAGUGGGGAAUAUUGGACAAUGGGGGGAACCCUGAUCCAGCCAUGCCGCGUGUGUGAAGAAGGCCUUAUGGUUGUAAAGCACUUUAGGCGAGGAGGAGGCUCUUUUGGUUAAUACCCAAGAUGAGUGGACGUUACUCGCAGAAUAAGCACCGGCUAACUCUGUGCCAGCAGCCGCCGUAA